AUACGUAGGGGGCGAGCGUUGUCCGGAAUGAUUGGGCGUCAAGGGCGCGUAGGCGGCCCGGUAAGUCUGGAGUGAAAGUCCUGUUUUUAAGAUGGGAAUUGCUUUGGAUACUGUCGGGCUUGAGUGCAGGAGAGGUAAGUGGAAUUCCCAGUGUAGCGGUGAAAUGCGUAGGGAGUGGGGGGAACACCGGUGGCGAAGGUGAAUUACUGGACUGUAACUGACGCUGAGGGGCGAAAGUGUUGGGAGCAAACAGGAUUAGAUACCCUGGUAGUCCACACUGUAAACGAUGAAUGCUAGGUGUAGGGGGUAUCGACCCCUUCUGUGCCGCAGUCAACACAAUAAGCAUUCCGCCUGGGGAGUACGGCCGCAAGGUUGAAACUCAAAUGAAUUGACGGG
rnacentral:rRNA from 1 species